rnacentral:misc_RNA from 1 species
GAUGAAGAACGUAGCGAAAUGCGAUAAGUAGUGUGAAUUGCAGAAUUCAGUGAAUCAUCGAAUCUUUGAACGCACAUUGCGCCCCUUGGUAUUCCAUGGGGCAUGCCUGUUCGAGCGUCAUUUGUACCUUCAAGCUUUGCUUGGUGUUGGGUGUUUGUAUCGCCUUUGCGUGUAGACUCGCCUUAAAAUAAUUGGCAGCCGGCGUAUUGAUUUCGGAGCGCAGUACAUCUCGCGCUUUGCACUCAUAACGACAGCGUCCAAAAGUACAUUUUACACUCUUGACCUCGGAUCAGGUAGGGAUACCCGCUGAACUUAAGCAUAUCAAUAAGCGGAGGA